UACGUAGGGAGCAAGCGUUGUCCGGAAUCAUUGGGCGUAAAGCGCGCGUAGGUGGCCAUGUAAGUCCGCUGUGAAAGUCAAAGGCUCAACCUUUGAAAGCCGGUGGAUACUGGGAGACUUGAAUACGGGAGAGGGUAGUGGAAUUCCUAGUGUAGGAGUGAAAUCCGUAGAUAUUAGGAGGAACACCGGUGGCGAAGGCGGCUACCUGGACCGAUAUUGACGCUGAGACGCGAAAGCGUGGGGAGCAAACAGG
rnacentral:rRNA from 1 species